CACGUAGGGCGCAAGCGUUGUCCGGAAUUAUUGGGCGUAAAGAGCUCGUAGGCGGUCUGUUGCGUCCGCUGUGAAAACCCGGGGCUUAACCCUGGGCUGGCAGUGGAUACGGACAGACUAGAGGUAGGUAGGGGAGAAUGGAAUUCCCGGUGUAGCGGUGAAAUGCGCAGAUAUCGGGAGGAACACCGGUGGCGAAGGCGGUUCUCUGGGCCUUACCUGACGCUGAGGAGCGAAGGCGUGGGGAGCGAACAGG
rnacentral:rRNA from 1 species